CAACAGCUAGAGUUUGAUCCGNGGCUCGAGACGAACGCUGGCGGCACGCUUAACACAUGCAAGUCGAACGAGCGAAACCAGCUUGCUGGUCUAGCUAGUGGCGACGGGUGAGUAACACGUGAGCAAUCGUGCCUUUCGGAGAGGGAUACCAAUUGGAAACGAUUGUUAAUACCUCAUAACAUAAUGAAGCCGCAUGACUUUGUUAUCAAAAUGAAUUUCGCCGAAAGAUGAGCUCGCGUCUGAUUAGGUAGUUGGUGAGGUAACGGCUCACCAAGCCGACGAUCAGUAGCCGGACUGAGAGGUUGAACGGCCACAUUGGGACUGAGACACGGCCCAGACUCCUACGGGAGGCAGCAGUGGGGAAUAUUGCACAAUGGGCGAAAGCCUGAUGCAGCGAUGCCGCGUGAGGGAAGAAGGUUUUAGGAUUGUAAACCUCUGUCUUCGGGGACGAUAAUGACGGUACCCGAGGAGGAAGCUCCGGCUAACUACGUGCC
rnacentral:rRNA from 1 species